rnacentral:misc_RNA from 1 species
AACGCACAUUGCGCCCGCCGGUAUUCCGGCGGGCAUGCCUGUUCGAGCGUCAUUUCACCACUCAAGCCCAGCUUGGUGUUGGGGCACCCGGCCGCCCAGCGGCCCUGGGGCCCCCAAGUCCAUCGGCGGGCUCGUCGGGACCCUGAGCGCAGUAACACGCGGUAAAACGCGCCCUCGCUCGGCGGAUCCAGUCGGGUUCCAGCCGCUAAACCCCCCUAAACUUUUUAGGUUGACCUCGGAUCAGGUAGGAAUACCCGCUGAACUUAA